CUACGCGAAGAACCUUACCAGGUCUUGACAUACUAUGCAAAUCUAAGAGAUUAGACGUUCCCUUCGGGGACAUGGAUACAGGUGGUGCAUGGUUGUCGUCAGCUCGUGUCGUGAGAUGUUGGGUUAAGUCCCGCAACGAGCGCAACCCUUAUUAUCAGUUGCCAGCAUUAAGUUGGGCACUCUGGUGAGACUGCCGGUGACAAACCGGAGGAAGGUGGGGAUGACGUCAAAUCAUCAUGCCCCUUAUGACCUGGGCUACACACGUGCUACAAUGGAUGGUACAACGAGUUGCGAACUCGCGAGAGUAAGCUAAUCUCUUAAAGCCAUUCUCAGUUCGGAUUGUAGGCUGCAACUCGCCUACAUGAAGUCGGAAUCGCUAGUAAUCGCGGAUCAGCAUGCCGCGGUGAAUACGUUCCCGGGCCUUGUACACACCGCCCGUCACACCAUGAGAGUUUGUAACACCCAAAGUCGGUGGGGUAACCUUUUAGGAACCAGCCGCCUAAGGUGGGACAGAUGAUUAGAGGGUGAAGUCGUAACAAGGUAGC
rnacentral:rRNA from 2 species